UUUUAUCAGAUUCUGACCUGAUCUCAACAUAGUCUGCCCUGCAGUUGCAUGAGAUGGAAUCUCAAAACUUCCACAGCAUCUGUGGCAGGUGGAAUAUUUCCCUCCUCCAAGAAGCCCUCUCCUAAUCCCUGGAACCUGUGAAUAGGUAGGUUAUAUGGCAAAGGGAAAUAAAGGCCGUGAAUAGAAUUAAGGUGGCUAAUCAGUGCCCCUUAAAUAGAGAUAACCCUGGAUUAUCCAGGUGGGUCCGAUGUAAUCACAAAGGUCUUUGACAGCAAAGAGAGAGAGGUGGCCAAGGAGACUCAGAGGACACCACACAAGAUGGAUUCACUGCCCGCUGCUGGCUUUGACCACUGAGGAAGGGACAUGAGUCAAGGGAUGUGGGAACCCUCUAGAAGCUGGAAAAGGCAAGAAACAGAUGCUCCCCCAGCUCCUGGGACAUAGCACGACCGUGCCAGCACCUUGGUUUUAGCUAAGUGAGACCCAGUCAGAAUCUUGAUCCACAGAACCAACACUGCCAAUGUGGGUUAAUCUAACCCAUGCAGUGGGCAAUGGCUCACUACAGAAACAGGAAAGUAUCACACGGUGGCCUGAGAGCCGCUUCCUGCAGCCUGAUCAUUCUCUGUUUGGAAGAUCUCUACAGAGAUCAAGGAGCCACGCUACACCAUGGUUUUUUUAAUUAUCAUUAUCCCUAGCACCUUGGUACCUUGAACCCCCCAUGUUCAUGUUCCACCCGCCCCUCAUUUUGCAGGUGGAGCAGCAAAAAUUAUGGCAUCCCUGAAUGCUAGGCAUUAUCCCAUCCUACUUACUACUCACAGUGGGGACCCUACUGCCGUCAGACACAUGGGAAAUGCAACUUCAAAAUUCCAUCCAAACCCACUUCUGCUUCAAUUACUAUACCCCGAGUCCCUUGGAAUCUCACGCCUCAAGGAGUGGUCUUCAGACCAUCGUAGGCAUCUCCAGAGAGCUAGUUAGCCACACAGGACUCUAAGUUCCACCCCAGGUAAACUGAGCCCCCAGUUGCACAUUUGAGCAGGAGUCCUGGGUGACUCAUAUACACAUUAAGACUCGAGACCCACACAGCAGCAAAACACAACCCAAGGGUUACAGUCUAAUUUGGGGGGAUGGGGGAAUAUGCAUCCAGGCAGCAGGAGGGAGGGAAAGAGAGUGAGGCAGAGGGCAAUGGGAAUAGUUCAAGCUGAUGCAUCUCUCUGCCGGCCUCUGCUUCAUGGCAAGCUGUAAAGAGACAGCUGGUGGCUCAGCACAUGUGCCGCUCAUCCAUCCUUCACAUCCCUGGACACGGUACACAGUGAAUGUUCCAUCUCCUAAUUCUCAUAGGUCAAAGUAGGAAUUAAGUGAUUCCCUGCACUUCCAAGCUGCAUCCUUCAGCCCCGUGGACAGCACCUGGGAAGCCCAUCGCCUGGCAUUUACUCAAAUUGGGAUCAGCUGAGACUCAGGGUAUGUAGCUGGGCAGCAGACCGGGUAGCAGAAUCUCAAGGGGGUAAUGGGGAGGGGUCCAGCCUUCCUGUCCCCUCUGGCCCAAGGGGGAGGGCUGGCACACCCAAGUGGUACAGGUUCAACCCCCUCCCCCAGAACACGUUGGAUCAUCCCAGCCUGGCAAGACCCCCUGAUUCAGACCUCAUCGGCCCCUUCCCCUUUUGUUCAUGCGUAUGUUGGGAGCAUUUGCCAAGGACUGGCAGGCAGACUAAGAGGAUCAUCCCAUUUUUUGUUUGGUUGAUGGUUGUUUCUGCAAGAUGAGGGAGAAUUCUCUCCUGCAGGACUAGUGUGGGGCUGGGAAACAGCCUGCAAAUUAAAGAUGGCCUAAGUACCCUUUCUCCUCACCUGAGAAACCCCUAGAAAUCCCUGAGGACAUAAGGGAGGGCCUAUCAUUCCAGAGGAAUCCCUGGUUCCUGGAGAAAGACAGAAAACUGUGGCCUUGGGAAUCCUGGGGAAAGGACUUGACCUUGCGAAGCCCAGUUUCCUCCUCUGUGAUAAGGGGCAAUGCCAGGUAGCCAUUAGGCAGCUGCAAGAAGAAAUAACAUGGGUCAGGGAAUGUUUCCAGGUUCUGCCCGAGUCUGCCCCACAGACUGAUCACACUGAGCUCGCUCUCGACAAAAGGCUCUUUCAAAAGAGGCAGAGGCCUCGCUCUAGUAGACAGAGCUGCUGGUGGUACCAUGGCCUGGUCUCCCUGCUCUUCUGCCCAUCUGAAGCAGGUGCCAAAAGCCACAGGUGCUCAUACAUAAAGUCCUUUUUAAUAGUGAUGGACAGAACCUACCCAUAUUCUCCCAGAUAUUCAGCCA
rnacentral:lncRNA from 1 species